rnacentral:tRNA from 1 species
UUAGUUGAAGCUAAAGUCGGCAGCACUUCACUGUUAAUGGAGUUUAGAAUAGUUUAUUCCAACUAAG